rnacentral:tRNA from 1 species
GUCGUUGUAGUAUAGUGGUAAGUAUCCCCGCCUGUCACGCGGGAGACCCGGGUUCGAUCCCCGGCAACGGCG